rnacentral:rRNA from 1 species
UACAGAGGGUGCAAGCGUUGUUCGGAAUUAUUGGGCGUAAAGCGCGUGUAGGCGGCUUUGCAAGUCGGGUGUGAAUCCCUCAGCUUAACUGAGGAAGUGCGCCCGAAACUGCUUUGCUUGAGUGCCGGAGAGGAUGGCGGAAUUCCCAAGUAGAGGUGAAAUUCGUAGAUAUGGGGAGGAACACCGGUGGCGAAGGCGGCCAUCUGGACGGUAACUGACGCUGAGACGCGAAAGCGUGGGAGCAACAGG